AUGGAUAGAGGUAGUUAAGUUAAUAUUAAUUUGUCAAAUUAAAGAUGAAUAA
rnacentral:tRNA from 1 species